rnacentral:misc_RNA from 1 species
UCUCCGUUGGUGAACCAGCGGAGGGAUCAUUACAGAGUUUUCACAACUCCCAACCCUUGCGAACCGUACCCAUUCUGUUAUCGUUGCUUCCGGCGGGGGGUCGGGGGGGCCCGAAACGGCCUCCCCGCCCCGCCCGCCGGGGGCGGCGGGACCUACGAACCCCGAUAUCUCAAACACCAGAAACCGGCUGAGAAAACAAACAAAAAAAUAAAAACUUGCAACAACGGACGUCUUGGCUCUGGCAACGAUGAAGAACGCAGUAGAUCGGAAGAGCACACG